rnacentral:miRNA from 15 species
AAAACUUUUUUGGUUGCUGCG